rnacentral:rRNA from 1 species
UCUUGCCUACGGGGCGCAGCAGUGAGGAAUAUUGGUCAAUGGGCGCGAGCCUGAACCAGCCAAGUCGCGUGAGGGAAGACGGUCCUAUGGAUUGUAAACCUCUUUUGUCGGGGAGCAAAAGACGCCACGCGUGGCGUUCCGAGAGUACCCGAAGAAAAAGCAUCGGCUAACUCCGUGCCAGCAGCCGCGGUAAUACGUAGGGUGCGAGCGUUAAUCGGAAUUACUGGGCGUAAAGGGUGCGCAGGCGGUUGAGUAAGACAGAUGUGAAAUCCCCGAGCUUAACUCGGGAAUGGCAUAUGUGACUG